rnacentral:rRNA from 1 species
UAUGCUUAACACAUGCAAGUCGAGCGGUAACAGAGAUAGCUUGCUAUCUGCUGACGAGCGGCGGACGGGUGAGUAAUGCUUGGGAAUAUGCCUUUGAGUGGGGGACAACAGUUGGAAACGACUGCUAAUACCGCAUAACGUCUACGGACCAAAGGGGGGGAUUCUUCGGAACCUCUCGCUCAUAGAUUAGCCCAAGUGAGAUUAGCUAGUUGGUAAGGUAAUGGCUUACCAAGGCGACGAUCUCUAGCUGGUUUGAGAGGAUGAUCAGCCACACUGGGACUGAGACACGGCCCAGACUCCUACGGGAGGCAGCAGUGGGGAAUAUUGCACAAUGGGCGAAAGCCUGAUGCAGCCAUGCCGCGUGUGUGAAGAAGGCCUUCGGGUUGUAAAGCACUUUCAGUUGUGAGGAAAGGGGUGUAGUUAAUAGCUGCAUCCUAUGACGUUAGCAACAGAAGAAGCACCGGCUAACUCCGUGCCAGCAGCCGCGGUAAUACGGAGGGUGCGAGCGUUAAUCGGAAUUACUGGGCGUAAAGCGUGCGUAGGCGGUUUGUUAAGCAAGAUGUGAAAGCCCAGGGCUCAACCUUGGAACUGCAUUUUGAACUGGCAAACUAGAGUACUGUAGAGGGUGGUGGAAUUUCCAGUGUAGCGGUGAAAUGCGUAGAGAUUGGAAGGAACAUCAGUGGCGAAGGCGGCCACCUGGACAGAUACUGACGCUGAGGCACGAAAGCGUGGGGAGCAAACAGGAAUAGAUACCCUGGUAGUCCACGCCGUAAACGAUGUCAACUAGCUGUCUGUGGACUUGAUCCGUGGGUAGCGCAGCUAACGCAUUAAGUUGACCGCCUGGGGAGUACGGCCGCAAGGUUAAAACUCAAAUGAAUUGACGGGGGCCCGCACAAGCGGUGGAGCAUGUGGUUUAAUUCGAUGCAACGCGAAGAACCUUACCAUCCCUUGACAUCCAUGGAAUCA